GAGAGCAGCCUGAACUAUCUGAAGAAACGUCUAUGGGAACUAGAAGUUGACCACCUUUUACAAAGCUAUACCCAGGGACAGUUGCUCAGGGCAGCGAGGAGAAGGAAGACGCCAAUCUUCAAUAGCAGAACUUUCUGAAGUCCCAUGAAGCAUUUUGAUGAAAUAUAUAAAUCACCAUCCGCAUCUCUUUCUCAAUAGCCCAGUCUCUCACUGGGUUUUGGAAGCUCCAGUUUCUCAGCAUGUGAUCUGUGAGGAACUGAUUUCUGGUCUCCAUCACACCUUACCAAGACUUCUCAAGCAGUGGCCUGCAGGCCAGGGCAGUGUGGGACCUGCUGUCAGCACCACUCGGAUUCCCCUUGCAUGUGACCCCUUCAUAAAUCUCUGCAGCUCAGGAUCAAAGGUGAAACAACUGGGACACGUGAAACAUGAGGAAGUCCAAUACAAGACGUCCUUACACGCGAUUCCUACAAAAGCCUGGAAUUUGCUGUUCAGACAGGGAUUGUCAAUACAAAUUAACUGAGGCAUGAAAUAGCUGUGCAUUGCUUUGAAACCCCUUCUCACACACGGUACCAUUUCAAAUAGACGACUUGGAGAAACAGACCACACGGGGCAAAAGAUGUUAUGAUGGAUUUGCUUGCCAUGUGAAUAUGAUCCAGCGUCUGUGACUGUGUGUCACUCACAAGUCUGGUCCUGAUGGACGUCCAAAUCCUCCUCAGGCAGCCAAAAAGCACAUUCCAUUGACAUGCAGCAGCCACUGAGGAGAUAAGGAAAUAAAGACAUCGGCUGCUAAUACUAACGGACCACCUGCCAACAAGAAAUCUUAGUAAACUACGCAACAAAGGAUACGAGAAUCCACCCUGAAGAUCACUGAAACUCUCCACGAAGCAUAAAUCCUUUCACAUCUCGAUCAGGUGCAAGAAUGAGCCAUUCUCAUACAGUUUCUUCCCUGAAUACCUGCAUACAUCUAUUGCUUACUUCUCCUUACUGCCCCUUUGGGAGCAAUGCCUGUUAAUUGAAAUGGCCCCCCUUUGUAACAGUCAGCAGCUGGUUUGAUUACUGUAUUCCAAUAAAUAAUACGGCUGGUAUUAAUUCAGACAGAGCAAUUAACACACAGGCCAGACAUUUUUACUGUGUCACUUUUACUGUAUACUACCAAUUAGGAGUUUCUAUCUGAAAUACUAUCCCCUAUUGAAAGCCAAAUAAAUUCAGCUCCAGUUUGAUCUUUCCAACAAUUGUGUCCCCCAUUAAGAAGCAUCUGACAGCGCCUUUCUAACCAUUCACAUUGAUCCUCC